AUGCCUGGUACGGGUGGUCUGAAACACCCUAUAUGCUGUAACUGCAGUGCAACUGAUUUUUAUUUUCAGCUGCUACCUCUGAUCAACAUGCCUUCAUUUCCAUGUGCCAAAGUCCUAUUGGAAAAAGGAAGCACAGUAUGCCACACAAAGACACUACGCCGUGCAAGAAGAAGUGCCGAAGUCAUCCCAGCCAUAGAAGGCAUUCUCUUUGUAGUGAGGAAAAAACUGGUCCAAGCAAGAACAGGGGACUCCUGGCUGAAAACCAGGAAUCUAACUCCCCAAAUGGAGACAAAUCUUCGGGUCAGACUUUACUUGGCACUGUCUCAUCUCCAGGGCACAACCUUCAAUGUAACAGCAAAUUCCUCCUCAGAUCAUAAACAGCCAAUGCCAAGGAAGCGGCGAAAUGAUAGUGCUCGAGUGGCAGCUUUGAGAGAGAAGCUCAUACAGAAGAAUAGAACCAUCAACAAACUCAGGAUGCAAGUCAAAAGAUCAAAGCAUCCCAAAUCAGCCUCGCUCUCUGCUCGAGAAAUCGUUGCUGCAGUUUAG
rnacentral:lncRNA from 1 species